GAUGAACGCUGGUGGCGUGCCUAAUACAUGCAAGUCGAGCGAACGGACGAGAAGCUUGCUUCUCUGAUGUUAGCGGCGGACGGGUGAGUAACACGUGGAUAACCUACCUAUAAGACUGGGAUAACUUCGGGAAACCGGAGCUAAUACCGGAUAAUAUUUUGAACCGCAUGGUUCAAAAGUGAAAGACGGUCUUGCUGUCACUUAUAGAUGGAUCCGCGCUGCAUUAGCUAGUUGGUAAGGUAACGGCUUACCAAGGCAUCGAUGCAUAGCCGACCUGAGAGGGUGAUCGGCCACACUGGAACUGAGACACGGUCCAGACUCCUACGGGAGGCAGCAGUAGGGAAUCUUCCGCAAUGGGCGAAAGCCUGACGGAGCAACGCCGCGUGAGUGAUGAAGGUCUUCGGAUCGUAAAACUCUGUUAUUAGGGAAGAACAUAUGUGUAAGUAACUGUGCACAUCUUGACGGUACCUAAUCAGAAAGCCACGGCUAACUACGUG
rnacentral:rRNA from 1 species